rnacentral:lncRNA from 1 species
CAAUAAUAGCUAAACCAUAUGUGAGAAUAGAUCACCUAUCUAUCAUUUUUGGGGUCUAAACCUAAAUACACCGGUCUAAUAAACGGGUGCACUGCACAUUAACCACCCAAUUUUUUAAAAAUCCCAUAUAAAUCCAAUUUUCCCCGAUACAUUCAUGGGAGUUGAUGGUGCAUGUCAGAUUUUGCCACCAUUAUUUCUGGGAGUACC